CCGGCCCAGGGUCCAAGAUGGCCAUGCUGUGCUGCCCGCAGCCUCCACACCCCAGGGCCAGAUAGGGCGACCUGGUGCAGUCCCUGCAGACGCCCCCCCACAGGCCUGCACUGCGGUUGGCUCAUCCUGUCCCAUGACCCCUUUGUUGCCCAACCGCCCCCCCCCCCCACGCCUUUGUUAAUCACGCUUGGCCCUGGGCCGGCCAGAGCACCUUCUCCUCUCCACCUGAGCAUCUCUCCUGGACCCUCAAGGCUCAGCCCAGGCUCAUCUCCAGAAGGCCCUCCGGCCCGGCCUCCCCACCACGGUCCCCAGGGCUGGGCCAGGCGCUGCCCCUCCUCCUGUGUAGGGAGCCCAGCGUUGGGGGCGGGAGUGCGGAGAUUGAACCAGGGGACACUGCGCCAUCCUGGCCAGCAGAGCAGGCCUCCCUCAGGGACACAGGCUUGUCCCUCCUCUCCGUGAAGAAGUCCUGAAAGAUCAUCCCUGGACUGCAAACCCAGAGCCGGUCAGGGCGUGCCCACCGCGCCAGGCCACCAUCCCCCGGGCUGUGCAGGGGCAGCUGAAGUGCACGCCCCACAACCCGGCUCUCAGGCUGUUGAUGAGAAAACGGAGCUCCAGGGAGGGAGCGACCUGAAGGGUGCCACCUCAAAGCUGGACGCCAGGCUGGUCGCAUUACCCACCCUGCUCCAGGGGUCCCUGUUUCAUGGAGGAGACAACAGGGUCUGUGUGCUCUGGGCACAGAGUCGGCAGCCUUGCCCCGAGCCGUCCCCUUCCUUUUCCUGACAUUAAACGUUAAACCAACAGGCUCAGACGUUCACGUCACUUCAUGGUUUGUGAUGUAACGCCCCCUGAAACCUCAGCCGCUACGUAAAAAUGACCGCGUCCCUGUCACCCUGCGACGCGAGCAAGGGGCAGGCUCUGUGGCUAUGGCGUCAUCUCAGAAAUGACUCCCAAUAACGACGCCCCACCCAGGAUAUAAAACGCCAGGAUGCUUGUGGUGAAAAAUAACCUGGUUACCCAUUUCCUAGUGCGCUGUCAUCGCAAAUCAAAUUUAAAGCAAAAUCA
rnacentral:lncRNA from 1 species